GACAGCCUCUCUCCGCAACACAGGCAGCGCAGAAGAACGGGAGAAGGGAGAGGGACGGAGGGACAGAGGCUUGGAGGGGGAUCAGAGGCGGCAGGUUUGGCCAAAGAGGCCAAGGACCAUCACAUGUCCAGAGUCUGCACGGGCUUUGUCUGUCUCCUGGACUCUGACAACUGUGAGAGGAGACAAGGGGACCAUUGCUGCCCAAGAGGGCUUCCUGGCAGAGGUGGGACUGUAGCAAAGCCUGGAAGGAGAGAACAGGGGCCCCAGGGACACGUGCACAGGUGUUCAUAGCAGACCCAUUUGUAACAGUGAAAAGUGGGACAUGGCCUAGCUGUCAUCAUCUGCACCCUGGGUGAGUAGUG